CUGGCCAAUAUUAACCGCUCUACCACAAUUCUACAACGGCAAAACCAGCUACCACGACAAAAACCAGUACAAUGUUUAACACCAACACAGCUGCAACGUCCACUAAAAGCAGCCUUUAACAACGGCGUACAACAAAACAAUGGCAAAACGGCAACUCACAUAACAACAAAAACAGUUGCGUACAACAACUGUAUCAACAACAAACAACGACAACACAUAGCAAAGCACCGUUAACCAGAAAAACCUUAAUUUCCCAUUUACCGAUUUAUCACCCUCCCCCCCACCCCCGGCGCGCGUUCAGCUAUCUAUGGCUAAAAAUCAGAUGACUUUCACCACAUUCAGUCCAUUAUUCACUUUUUCGGAGGCAGUGAAGGAUAGAGUGGAGAAGAUUUUUUAGGGGAAAAUUGAGGAUUCGGGUGGCGCAUGCUUCUAAUCCUAGGUAACCCAAAAAAUUCUCGGAGAAACAUACUCAAAAACUCAAUUCCGAUGAAAGUUAAACUCCAAAGAUUCAGAAUUUAAACUCUAGUGGUGAAAGCCCAUCCUCAAAGUUCGUCGUUCCGUUUGCUGCCCGCAAAAAGGUAAACAUAGCCUGCUCUUUGUCAUUUCCUCUUGUUUUUUUAUUUUUCUUCUCAUUAGUAGCAAUGUGUAAUGAGUGUUGGGACUGUCUGCUGUAGACGGCUUUGAAAGCCAUAGGUUUUGUGUGAUGAAUCCACUUUUCUCCGUUUUGUUUUUCUCAUUUUUCUCAGAGUUAUCAUUCUGUAGUAAUUUGACUGAUUUGAUGAUAAUUGUUAAGUAUGGUGUUGUCGCUCUAGUAUCUAGAUUUUAUUAUAUUUUUGUUGCUGCUUUAGAGAUUGAAUAUCAUUGUUAAUGUGAGUAUGCUGGUUCUGUUCAUAUAAUAGUCAGUGAUGUGAAGGGUAUGUUGUUAGUUUGGAAGACACUGUUUUCUUGCUUGUAUAAAGCCUUUGUGUUAGUCAAAUGUGAACUCUUAAAAACUUUUUCUUUCCUUUGCUUCGUUCUGCCAGUGUAAAUCUGGUUUGCCUCAUAGAUUCUUUUUGUUAUGUGUUUGAAACAGAUUGUUCAAAGUGUUCAAGUAUGAAUGUGUAGGCCUAGUGAACCCUGAAUGACUUGUUGGCCUUUGGUUCAACGUGAUUAGCCAUAUAGAGGGUGAAGGUCGUUUAAAAUAGUUAGAUUGUAUCUCCCUUGUCGUAAGUUUGUUUUGUCAAUGAAAGUAUGUUUCAUGGUUGCGCCUAGCUUUAACAGCUACGUAGACUUUCAUUUUUAGAGUUUCAAUUCCUAUAAAGUCAUAUGGUCGUAAUCGAAAGGCAAGAUUGAUGAUAACAUGUUGGUUAAGCAUUGCCUCUCUUUUCUUGCAUUUUAUUUCAAUUAUGUAUGAAUUCUUAUGAGCUUUGGCGAGUUAACUAUGUGAUAGUGAUGGCCCUAGUUCAUUGUCGCACAUCUAGUUGUGUUUGGACAUGCCCCCGGCGCAGUUAUAAUCCGUAAUUUUCUCAUGGUUUCACCCUAGCUCUUUAAAAGAACAAUUUGUCGUUAAUCUGUCCACCUGCUUUUUAUUCUUAAAGAAAAUAAAAAUGAAUCUGCUAGUUACCCUUUUAUUAUCAUUCCUAGCCCAAAACGUCUACACGUCUGUUGAAGUGUGAUAUAUUUUUUCCCCUAAAUAGUUAAUUUUAACUUUCUUUUAUAACUCAAAAUGCUUUGAGAUGUUCACGCAAUCUUAUAUACUUAAGGAAUACACAUGUUCAUAUCGGAUAACAGAGAUUCGAAUAAACAUAUUUGACUACUGUUAAAUCACUGUGAGUCUGAUUUGAAGAAUUUCAUAUGGUUCUUGUGUGGUUAUUUCAUAUAAUUUGUUACUUUUGAUCUUCUUUGAGGUUAACUUAGUUGAGAAAUAAUAAAUUAGUCAAUCUGGUUUUGCUGAGGUUGCUUAUGUUUAGUCUUUUUGGUUCUCUGUUCUAUUUAUGUAUUUUAUUGGGGAUUUUAGUUCAAAUGUAUUGUGUUCUGUUUGGCUUCCAGUUAAACUAUGUAUUAUCGCCAUUAUGGAUCUUGUUAGUAAAUUUGAAGUUUAAAACUCGGAUUUAUUAUGUAGUUUUGUGUUUAAAGACCUAAAACCUUUUGUUUACUGCAUUUGUAUCUCUGAUCAUGUACUUUUUGCAAAAAAUGUGUUCUGAAACAUGAUCAAUGGGUUUAUGCGAUAAUAUGUGCAAUAUCGUGAAACUUGUGUGACUACUCCAAUGCAUUCUUGCUAUCAUUAGAUUGUUGUCACGAUACACACUAAUUCUUAUAUUUUUUCUUAAUGCAUGUGGCGUUGACUUGAAUUCCAACGGACUCCAUUCCUUGCAUUUCUCAACGGGCCAAAGGGGCCUACAUCUUCUACGAGCUCAAAUGCCUUUAUUUUUUAAGAAACAAAGCUGUAUAUGCAUUUAUACAUCAGAAAUACAGCAUAUAUAUGGUGAAUGUGAGAAAAAAGAAGCUUAUUAUACAGGUGGACUAAAAUACGUGUAUAUGAUAAAGAUAUGGUCAUGUAUACACCAGAUAUACAAAAAUGCAGUAAGAAAAGUAGCUGAUAUACACAUCGUAUACACUGCAGAAAAAUGGACCGAAGUCCAUAAUUCAAACCCCAAAGCUGGGCAGCUUUAUUGAUGGGCUAACUAAGGGCCCAAUUUCAGUUCUUGUAUCAUUUUUAUAGCUUGUAUGCUUAUUUGUAUUAAUUAGCUUUUUAAUCAUUAACCUAGACAAAUUCCCUAAAGUGUUGUCAUUUUUAUUUUAUCUUAGUUUUCUUUUAC